rnacentral:lncRNA from 1 species
UUAAGGUGGUACCCAACACUUUAACUAAAAUUAAUUUGGCUCGUUUAAUUUUCUUAAAAUUUUGACAAAGUAUUAACUUUGACCCUUUUACAAAAAUAUAAAAAUUUCAAAAAAUUUGAACCAACCGUUUUAUCAGAAAAAUUACACUGGUUAUAUAGCAGUUUGACAAAAACUUAGUUUGAUCAUUCAGAAGCUUGAUAUUCCCUUUACAACACAACGUUAUUAAAACGUUCAGCUAAUUUUACAGAGUUAUCUCCCUGUAGUGUUAGGUACCACCUUAAA